rnacentral:rRNA from 1 species
AGAGUUUGUUCCUGGCUCAGGAUGAACGCUGGCGGCGUGCUUAACACAUGCAAGUCGAACGGAGUUAUGAUGUGCGAGGGAUGUAGCUUGCUAUUGACCGGACUUUUCAUAACUUAGUGGCGGACGGGUGAGUAACGCGUGGGUAACCUGCCAUAUACAGGGGGAUAACACUUAGAAAUAGGUGCUAAUACCGCAUAAGCGCACAGUGCCGCAUGGCACAGUGCGAAAAACUCCGGUGGUAUAUGAUGGACCCGCGUCUGAUUAGCUAGUUGGCGGGGUAACGGCCCACCAAGGCGACGAUCAGUAGCCGGCCUGAGAGGGUGAACGGCCACAUUGGGACUGAGACACGGCCCAAACUCCUACGGGAGGCAGCAGUGGGGAAUAUUGGACAAUGGGGGAAACCCUGAUCCAGCGACGCCGCGUGAGUGAAGAAGUAUUUCGGUAUGUAAAGCUCUAUCAGCAGGGAAGAAGAAAUGACGGUACCUGACUAAGAAGCCCCGGCUAACUACGUGCCAGCAGCCGCGGUAAUACGUAGGGGGCAAGCGUUAUCCGGAUUUACUGGGUGUAAAGGGAGCGUAGACGGUAAUGCAAGUCUGAAGUGAAAUGCGGGGGCUCAACCCCUGAACUGCUUUGGAAACUGUAUAACUGGAGUGCAGGAGAGGUAAGUGGAAUUCCUAGUGUAGCGGUGAAAUGCGUAGAUAUUAGGAGGAACACCAGUGGCGAAGGCGGCUUACUGGACUGUAACUGACGUUGAGGCUCGAAAGCGUGGGGAGCAAACCAGGAUUAGAUACCCUGGUAGUCCACGCCGUAAACGA